GUACUGCUGAGGAAUCCCACAAUAGAAUGAAACGGCCGUCCAGUGAC
rfam:Schistosoma margrebowiei strain Zambia genome assembly, scaffold: SMRZ_scaffold0002723